GACGAACGCUGGCGGCGUGCUUAACACAUGCAAGUCGAACGGUGAAGCUCCAGCUUGCUGGAGUGGAUCAGUGGCGAACGGGUGAGUAACACGUGAGCAACCUGCCCCUGACUCUGGAAUAAGCGCUGGAAACGGCGUCUAAUACUGGAUACGAGAAGGGUCCGCAUGGGCACUUUCUGGAAAGUUUUUCGGUUGGGGAUGGGCUCGCGGCCUAUCAGCUUGUUGGUGAGGUAAUGGCUCACCAAGGCGACGACGGGUAGCCGGCCUGAGAGGGCGACCGGCCACACUGGGACUGAGACACGGCCCAGACUCCUACGGGAGGCAGCAGUGGGGAAUAUUGCACAAUGGGCGAAAGCCUGAUGCGGCGACGCCGCGUGAGGGAUGACGGCCUUCGGGUUGUAAACCUCUUUCAGCAGGGAAGAAGCGAAAGUGACGGUACCUGCAGAAGAAGCACCGGCUAACUACGUG
rnacentral:rRNA from 1 species